UACGAAGGAGGCGAGCGUUGUCCGGAAUCAUUGGGCGUAAAGAGCGCGCAGGCGGCUUGGCAAGUCGGGUGUGAAAUCCCGGGGCUCAACCCCGUGACUGCAUCCGAUACUGUCAGGCUAGAGGUAGGUAGGGGAGAUCGGAAUUCCUGGCGUAGCGGUGAAAUGCGCAGAUAUCAGGAGGAACACCGAUGGCGAAGGCAGGUCUCUGGGCCACUACUGACGCUGAGAAGCGAAAGCAUGGGGAGCGAACAGG
rnacentral:rRNA from 1 species